CAGCAGCCACGGUAAUACGUAGGUGGCAAGCGUUGUCCGGAAUUAUUGGGCGUAAAGGGCUCGCAGGCGGUUUCUUAAGUCUGAUGUGAAAGCCCCCGGCUCAACCGGGGAGGGUCAUUGGAAGCUGGGAAACUUGAGUGCAGAAGAGGAGAGUGGAAUUCCACGUGUAGCGGUGAAAUGCGUAGAGAUGUGGAAGAACACCAGUGGCGAAGGCGACUCUCUGGUCUGUAACUGACGCUGAGGAGCGAAAGCGUGGGGAGCGAACAGGAUUAGAUACCCCGGUAGUCCCUGUCUCUUAUAC
rnacentral:rRNA from 1 species